GCUUGAGGCCAUACCACCUUCACUUAGGCUCUCAUAAACUGAAUAGGGUUGGGUUAGGUUGAUGUUCUUAUGGGAGACCUCCAAAGAAACCAAAGGGUGUCAGUGA
rnacentral:rRNA from 1 species